ensembl:lncRNA
AGAUCCCUCCUUGGUGAAGCUUUCCCCUGCAAACCUGGAAUCUUCUGAUAUGGACACGGCUCAGCACAAAGGGUCCAAGACCAGAAGCACUCUAUUUUUUACCAGAGAACUUAGCCCAUGUGGAAGUCGCACAAACAAUGAAAUUACGUGCAGGCCAGAAGGAUUGCUCUGUGUGUCCAUUUUUCGGGAUCCAUUGUUUGUUAAGAGGCACCACGGGAGAUUCACGCGGGGUAACUGCAGGUGCAGUGUCACACAGCGUUCAGUCAGCACCACGACACGCUCUGAGGGUGCAGAGUUCAUGGGUGUUAGCACGCUCAGUACCGCUGAGAGGCUGAUAUUUUAAGCAUGUCUUGAAUGCCAACGUGUAAUUUGAUUAUCCGUUAUCAAGCCUGCACUACAGGAAUUCCUCUUCCAAUAGAAAUUCGGAUAGCUCAGCACAGAAAUUUGCCGUCCGGCUUUUUCCAUAAAUAUGUACGUGCAAAAAC